AUUGAACGCUGGCGGAAUGCUUUACACAUGCAAGUCGAACGGUAGAGGGGGCAACCCCUCGAGAGUGGCGAACGGGUGAGUAAUAUAUCGGAACGUGCCCAGUCGUGGGGGAUAACGUAGCGAAAGUUACGCUAAUACCGCAUACGAUCUAAGGAUGAAAGCGGGGGAUCGCAAGACCUCGCGCGAUUGGAGCGGCCGAUAUCAGAUUAGGUAGUUGGUGGGGUAAAGGCUCACCAAGCCAACGAUCUGUAGCUGGUCUGAGAGGACGACCAGCCACACUGGAACUGAGACACGGUCCAGACUCCUACGGGAGGCAGCAGUGGGGAAUUUUGGACAAUGGACGCAAGUCUGAUCCAGCCAUUCCGCGUGCAGGAUGAAGGCCCUCGGGUUGUAAACUGCUUUUGUACGGAACGAAAAGGUCUCUCUUAAUACGGGGGACUCAUGACGGUACCGUAAGAAUAAGCACCGGCUAACUACGUGCCAGCAGCCGCGGUAAAAC
rnacentral:rRNA from 1 species